rnacentral:sRNA from 1 species
GAUCAUUAGUGAACAACCCGGUGCGGUUGUUGCUGGCCUCCUCUGCCGAGGCAUGUGCACGCCCACCAUUUGUUUCAUCCUUCUUCCCACCUGUGCACUUCUGUAGGCCACCCAGCCAAAAGCCUUCCUGGCAUGCGGCUGGAACACAGUGGUCUACGUUUUCUCAUCAACUCCAAUGAAUGUGUAGAGUGUAGAACAAGGUCCAUAAUGGCCUUAUAAAAUCUAAUACAACUUUCAACAACGGAUCUCUUGGCUCUCGCAUCGAUGAAGAACGCAGCGAAAUGCGAUAAGUAAUGUGAAUUGCAGAAUUCAGUGAAUCAUCGAAUCUUUGAACGCACCUUGCGCUCCUUGGUAUUCCGAGGAGCAUGCCUGUUUGAGUGUCAUUAAAUCAUCAACCCCCACUCCCUUGUGGUAUGGGGUGUUUGGACUUGGAGAUUGCAGGCCCACCAGYUGGGCCAGCUCCUCUGAAAUGCAUUAGCAGAGCCCAUCAUGUGCAUCUGUGGCUUGGUGUGAUAGUAAAUCUAUACCUAGCAAUGUUGUGCAUCGAAUCUGCUGCCAGUCGUCCGCUUCGUGGACAAUCAUUGACCAUUUGACCUCAAAUCAGGUAGGAUUACCCGCUGAACUUAAGCAUAUCAAUAAGCGGAGGAAAAGAAACUAACAAGGAUUCCCCUAGUAACUGCGAGUGAAGCGGGAAAAGCUCAAAUUUAAAAUCUGGCG